rnacentral:misc_RNA from 1 species
AAGACUAUAGACCUGCGGAGUACCUGCGGAGGGAUCAUUAAUGAAUUUUAGGACGUUCUUUUUAGAAGUCCGACCAUUUCAUUUUCUUACACUGUGCACACACUUCUUUUUACACACACUUUUAACACAUUAGUAUAAGAGUGUAAUAGUCUCUUAAUUGAGCAUAAACAAAAAUAAAACUUUCAACAAUGGAUCUCU